UACGGGGGAGCAAGCGUUGUUCGGAUUUACUGGGCGGUAAAGGGCGCGUGAGGCGGUCAGCACAAGAUCAUGUUGGUGAAAACUCUACCUGGGCUUAACUCGGAAAGGUCAACUGAUACUGUGCGACUAGAGUGCGGAAGGGGCAAACUGGAAUUCUCGGUGUAGCGGUGAAAUGACGUAGAUAUCGAGAGGACACCUGCGGCGAAGGCGGGUUGCUGGGCCGACACUGACGCUCAUGGCACGAAAGCGUGGGGAGCAAACAGG
rnacentral:rRNA from 1 species